rnacentral:lncRNA from 1 species
AGCCCUAUUGCUUAUAGUAUCUGAGAUAUGGACUUGACCACCAAAACUUAACCUUGUUCAUUGAGCCAUGAAAUGAGGUCAAGGUCAAGUGAAAACUGUCUGACGGGCAUGAGGACCUUGCAAGGUACGCACAUACCUAAUAUAGUUAUCCUAUUACUUAUAAUAAGAGAGAAUUCAACAUUGCAAAAAAUCUGAACCUUUUUUUCAAGUGGUCACUGAACCAUGAAAAUGAGGUCAAGGACAUUGGACAUGUGACUGACAGAAACUUCGUAACAUGACGCAUCUAUAUACAAAGUAUGAAGUAUAAAGGUCUUCCACCUUCUAAAAUAUAAAGCUUUUAAGAAGUGAGCUAACACCGCCGCCGCCGCCGCCGCCGGAUCACUAUCCCGUCGAGCUUCUGCAACAAAGUGCAGCGCGACAAAAAAUGAAAACAAACGGCCUGAUUUUGACUCUAACAAUAAACAAUUAUGACUACAGAAAUACGGUGUCAUGUAGACAAAAAUUCUUUGAAGUCGUGUAUUAAACUGUUGAACAUAUAAACUGUUUACACAGAGAUAAUAUGCCUCACCUGUGUCGGAUCUUCAUGCAAUAAUGCAAAAUUAAAUUAAACUCAACACUUUAAUGUUUUAAUUUUGCAAAACGUUCAAAGUCAAUGUACUCAAGAGUAACAAACAAAUCUCCAAGGACAUGAGAAGUGACAAUUGUUUUUUUAUACAACUGCAAAACAACAUUAUUGACGUUAUACCACGAUUGGUUCCUCUUUAACUGACAAAUUACCUACACACUAGUCCAUGAAAGUGAGCGGAGGAGGCGGGGGACAAACGAAUCAACAUGCAACCAUUCAAAUUAGAUUUGUAAAUGUAAUUACAACUGCAUACCAAAUAUAAUUACCAUACCAUAAGUGUUUUUUUUUUAAACUGAUGGAAAUGAGACCUGCCAAUACUUAUUCAGCUGCAUGCCAAAUUCAUCAAUUUACCAAAAGCGAUUCCAUUUAAAAUGACUUACCAAUAGCGAAUCCUCUAAAAUUGACAAACAUUUUAAUCUGUCAUAGACGCGAUAACAAUAUAUUAUUGUAAGUAUAUUUGAAGAAAACUUGCAAGAACAAUGCAAAUUUGAAAACCUUGAAAUUAAAUGUAUCCUAAGACUUAUAUGUUGAACAUAGAGAAAUCGAUAUUCAUGAGCGCCUAGAAAAAUAUGUCAGGACAAAUAAGAAUCAAAUAUCUCGUUAGUUGAAACAGCUAACAUUUCAAAAAUAAUCAUUGCAUCAGUGAAACAAAUUAAUAAAACGUGUUAAUCAAUUUGACGUAACAAAAUAACUGGCUUUAUAAUUAACCAGUUAUACCUAUAUUGCAUUAUUGAAGUGCAAGACAAAUUAAAGAUAAGAAGAUGUGGUAUGAUAGUCAAUGAGUCAACUAUGAACCAAAAAACAAAUUGAGUAAAUGUAAGCAUCUAGAGGUCACUGUAUGGCCUUAAAAAUGGGCAAAACCCAUAUUGUAUAGUAAACAUGAACAACAGUCUUACCCAAAAGGAUAUUUCCCUGAACAAUUGUUCGCCUCUAAUUCUCUAUAGUUUUUUAGAUGGAUUUCUUUAAUAAUACUUUUUAAUUUACUUUUCUGGGAUUUCAUUAUAUAUUUGACAUUCAAGUAUAAAAUGGUAUUCAUCUUUAAUAGCGUUAGUGUUACACUUAGUACAUAGUCUAUUAUUUUAUCAACACUAUAACAUCUGCUUGUUUCUAUACUUGAAUUAUGAGCUGAUAUAUGAUAUAUUUACAAAUAUAUAGUGUGUAUGUAUAUAUAUAGUUUACAGGUCUAUCUAAAUAAAAUUGCAAUCAUGUAUACUAUGUAUAUAUCUAUACAAACAACAUUUACUUUAUUUUUUAAUGACUGGCUAUACAUUGGACUUUGUUAUUUUUAUUGAAACUUUUUUACUCUUAUUUUCUUAUUCAUCUGUAAAAGUGUAGGAAAUAAAAUUUGUUAUCAAUACACUCAAGUGAACAUGGUGUAUUUAUUGACUUUUGAGAAACUGCUUCACUUAACAUUAAACAUUUAAUUCAAUAACAGUCAAACUAAACGAGAAAAGAUGUUAUCUGAUGACACAAUUGAUGUUUGAUACUAUCUGCACUACAUUUGUAACAUAAUUGAUGUGGUAUACUCAUAUCAAUAAUACUAAUAAUGAAACAAUUACAAAACAGAAAAAGAUAAACAGU